rnacentral:rRNA from 1 species
AAAUUGAAGAGUUUGAUCAUGGCUCAGAUUGAACGCUGGCGGCAGGCCUAACACAUGCAAGUCGAGCGGAAACGAGUUAUCUGAACCUUCGGGGAACGAUAACGGCGUCGAGCGGCGGACGGGUGAGUAAUGCCUAGGAAAUUGCCCUGAUGUGGGGGAUAACCAUUGGAAACGAUGGCUAAUACCGCAUAAUGCCUACGGGCCAAAGAGGGGGACCUUCGGGCCUCUCGCGUCAGGAUAUGCCUAGGUGGGAUUAGCUAGUUGGUGAGGUAAGGGCUCACCAAGGCGACGAUCCCUAGCUGGUCUGAGAGGAUGAUCAGCCACACUGGAACUGAGACACGGUCCAGACUCCUACGGGAGGCAGCAGUGGGGAAUAUUGCACAAUGGGCGCAAGCCUGAUGCAGCCAUGCCGCGUGUGUGAAGAAGGCCUUCGGGUUGUAAAGCACUUUCAGUCGUGAGGAAGGUAGUGUAGUUAAUAGCUGCAUUAUUUGACGUUAGCGACAGAAGAAGCACCGGCUAACUCCGUGCCAGCAGCCGCGGUAAUACGGAGGGUGCGAGCGUUAAUCGGAAUUACUGGGCGUAAAGCGCAUGCAGGUGGUUUGUUAAGUCAGAUGUGAAAGCCCGGGGCUCAACCUCGGAAUAGCAUUUGAAACUGGCAGACUAGAGUACUGUAGAGGGGGGUAGAAUUUCAGGUGUAGCGGUGAAAUGCGUAGAGAUCUGAAGGAAUACCGGUGGCGAAGGCGGCCCCCUGGACAGAUACUGACACUCAGAUGCGAAAGCGUGGGGAGCAAACAGGAUUAGAUACCCUGGUAGUCCACGCCGUAAACGAUGUCUACUUGGAGGUUGUGGCCUUGAGCCGUGGCUUUCGGAGCUAACGCGUUAAGUAGACCGCCUGGGGAGUACGGUCGCAAGAUUAAAACUCAAAUGAAUUGACGGGGGCCCGCACAAGCGGUGGAGCAUGUGGUUUAAUUCGAUGCAACGCGAAGAACCUUACCUACUCUUGACAUCCAGAGAACUUUCCAGAGAUGGAUUGGUGCCUUCGGGAACUCUGAGACAGGUGCUGCAUGGCUGUCGUCAGCUCGUGUUGUGAAAUGUUGGGUUAAGUCCCGCAACGAGCGCAACCCUUAUCCUUGUUUGCCAGCGAGUAAUGUCGGGAACUCCAGGGAGACUGCCGGUGAUAAACCGGAGGAAGGUGGGGACGACGUCAAGUCAUCAUGGCCCUUACGAGUAGGGCUACACACGUGCUACAAUGGCGCAUACAGAGGGCGGCCAACUUGCGAAAGUGAGCGAAUCCCAAAAAGUGCGUCGUAGUCCGGAUUGGAGUCUGCAACUCGACUCCAUGAAGUCGGAAUCGCUAGUAAUCGUGGAUCAGAAUGCCACGGUGAAUACGUUCCCGGGCCUUGUACACACCGCCCGUCACACCAUGGGAGUGGGCUGCAAAAGAAGUAGGUAGUUUAACCUUCGGGGGGACGCUUACCACUUUGUGGUUCAUGACUGGGGUGAAGUCGUAACAAGGUAGCGCUAGGGGAACCUGGCGCUGGAUCACCUCCUUAAACGAUGAU